rnacentral:rRNA from 1 species
UACGUAGGGGGCAAGCGUUGUCCGGAUUUAUUGGGCGUAAAGAGCUCGUAGGUGGUUCGGUAAGUCGGAUGUGAAAUCUCCAGGCUCAACCUGGAGGGGUCAUUCGAUACUGCCGUGACUAGAGUUCGGUAGGGGAGUGUGGAAUUCCCGGUGUAGCGGUGAAAUGCGCAGAUAUCGGGAAGAACACCCGUGGCGAAGGCGGCACUCUGGGACGGUACUGACGCUGAGACGCGAAAGCGUGGGGAGCGAACAGG